AUUUUUCCCUUCCCCUUCCCUUCUUCCCUUGACCCUUCCCCGUUCUUCCCCGUUUCCCUUUCUUCCCCCUUCCCUUUUCCCUUUCUUUUUCCCUGUCCCCUUCCCCUUUCUUUCCCCUUCCCCCCUUCUUUCCCUUCCCCUUCCCUUUUCUUUUCCCUUUCUCCUUUCCCUUUUCCGCUUUCAUCUUUCCCCUUUCUCCAUUCCCCCUCCCCUUCCCUUCAUCAUGCCUCAUAGCAUUAGAGCUACCUGCACCAUGGGGCUGUGCAGUUUUCACACUAUGCCUUCCCCACGCAGGUGGGAGGAGGCAUCUUGGAGGGAGGGUCUUCCCUGCCCAGCGGGAGUCUGUCAGAAACCUCUGUGCCCAAUCUGCCUUUGGGCAUGCGGCCGUUUGUCUCCGGUGCUGGAGCUUGCUGGCGCAGGCCUGCUACCAAACUCAGAGAGUAGUCAGGAUGAACUCCUGUCUGUCCUUCAUACCUGUAGCAUCCCUUCACAGUUUCUGAUGGAAUGUUUGUGCUGCAGACACAGCCUCUGCCUUGGUUUCCAGGCUCCUGUUAGGAUAACCUCAUUCCCUAACUAUUGUACCAGUCAGUCUUUAUGGUAUGAAAUUGUAUGGACUUUCUUGAUAGAAUGAAAUCGUAUUAGCUUUCUUGACAGAUGCAUAUUUUACCUUGUAUACUGCAUAAUCAUGGUUAAGUCAGUGUAACAGAAGGUCCCCAGCUCACUGCAAAGAGGAGGACAGUCCCUUGAAGAAAAGGACCUGUUAUUUCUUGGAAUCUGAUAACCAUCCACGAAGAAGUGAUACCCCUGGACUAUCAAGAUGAUGCCAGCAUCCCAUGCCCUCCAACACCUGUGAAACCCUCUCAUUAUCUGGCAUCAUAGGAGUUGCUGUCUGAAGUCCAGGCAGGGCCGCAGACUGCUUGAGUGCUUCCAUGUCCAUUGCAGUGUGAGUGGGCCAUCUGCAGAGUCUUCUCAUCCCUGUUCUUUCUCAUCUGAGCAGAGAGAGGGUGCGCAGCUGUCAGGGAGAGAUUUCAGGGGAGCUGAAGUUGGUGGCUGCAUACCAGAUAUUUAAAGAGUUAGGUUUAGCAAAAUAGAAAAUGCAGAAUAUUUACACUUCACUAUCAGUGUUUCCUGUUUCCACUGGCAAGCUGCCUCAUCAAGGACCUGAGGUAGCCUCAACCACGCACCUCUUCACAUGCACCAUGCUGCACAGUACACACUCCUAGAUGCAUCCCAGACAUGAUGUGAUUAUGCAGCGGUACAGACUGGCAGGGAGCUUCUCUCUGAGUAGGGAAUCUCACCACCUUGCUGCUGCACGAAGGAGCUGGUACAUUUAGGAGAAAGUACCACAAGAGAUUUCACCACCUGUCAGUAAAACCUGCUAAAGCUGGUUAGCUGACAGCCAUGAGGUUUGCUAUGAAUAUUUUAUAAAUGGUGAACAAAGUACCAAGCACAGCAUGAAGUACUGAGUGCAACUUCAGAGACUUUUCCCUGGAAUAUAUGGUUGUGCAGAAUUCCAUAAGAGUUUGAUGUAACUCUAGCAUAUGAUGUAGAGGCAUUAAAGCUUGUUGCAUAAAAUCCUUAUUUAAGAGAACAGCCUGUACAGAAGAUUUAUUUUGCUUAAGCAACUAGAAUAAACAGCACUUCUCUUCGAUCAUUUUCAAGGUAAAGCACACCCAUUUGGAAGAGAGGCAGUAAGUCAGUAUCAGGUCAAAUAAAAUGACAGAAGUGUACGAACUCCGCUUGGGACUGAGCUGAAUUUUUAGAGAGCUCUGCAACUAUGGCUUAGUCUUGCUCUGAAAUGGAAGAGGUCACGUGAACAGCACUUCCACUGUAAACAUAGUUACACUGGAAAAGCUUUCAUUAUUGAAGGCAUACAACCUCUGAAUGGACACAACUGAAUUAAAGUCAUGCAGGUUUGCUGCUAUAAUGGCAUUACUACUAGAAGCAUCCAUACAGUGAUAUGGAUCACACCCCUCACCUUUCUGACCUACAUCAUUAUACUAGUAGAGGCCAUCAUAGUUGUGUUGAGAGAGCAAAAUCCUGUUAGCCCCUGUGCACAACUUAUCCCUAAUACAGAAUUUUUAAAGGCUGAGAAAUCUGAUCCAAUUAACACAUUCUUGAUUUUUGCAGAAUACUGUGCUAAUUACAUGCAACCAGUCAUUGCUGGGUUAAUUAAACAUUCAUCCAAAACAACCUACAGCACUAAUCUAAUUAGCGAUUACUACAGCUGUCAUUACCUCUUUUCACCUACUUUUAAGCUGUGCAAAUUCACACUAAGAGUCUGGUCCUGCAAACUCUUUAAUAGCUUGCUUUGACUGCAAUAAUCUUCAGCGCACAGAAGCUUUAAAAAUUAGGCUGAAUACUUUACAGUCCACAAUAUAGCUUCAGUUCUGCCAUCCUUAUGUGCAAAAGUCUGAGUUCAGCAGUCAGUCAUAUCAUAAUUACAAAACUGGAAGAUUUUUCUUUUUAAUUGACAUGCGAUCUUACUAGGAGUAUCUGUAGGUCCUACCUUCAAGGGGUCCUCUGCAACUGUCAGGCCUAAAAGAUACUUGCAUUUCAGGAAAAAAGAAAAUGCAGACAGUCUUAUAAAUUCACAGGGCUUGAAAAUAUCAGUGGUUAGAAGCUUCAAAAGAUUUAUCUUGUUCAGAUUAAAAAAUGAAGUUGGGAAUAAAAAGAAAAA